AUACGGAGGAUGCGAGCGUUAUCCGGAUUUAUUGGGUUUAAAGGGAGCGUAGGUGGGAUAUUAAGUCAGCUGUGAAAGUUUGGGGCUCGACCUUAAAAUUGCAGUUGAUACUGGUUUCCUUGAGUACGGUAUAGGUGGGCGGGAUUCGUGGUGUAGCGGUGAAAUGCUUAGAUAUCACGAAGAACUCCGAUCGCGAAGGCAGCUCACCGGGCCGGAACUGACACUGAUGCUCGAAAGUGCGGGUAUCAAACAGGAUUAGAUACCCUGGUAGUCCGCACAGUAAACGAUGAAUACUCGCUGUUUGCGAUACACUGUAAGCGGCCAAGCGAAAGCGUUAAGUAUUCCACCUGGGGAGUACGCCGGCAACGGUGAAACUCAAAGGAAUUGACGGGG
rnacentral:rRNA from 1 species